AUCUCGUCAAAAGCGAGAUCACGCGAGAGUAGGUGCGGGUCUGUGUAGUGCUUGGUUGUGGUGUGACAGCAACUCUUGUUUUUUUUUUCGACUUGUUUCCGAGUGCUGGGAGAUUACCAAAGAUCAGACGACGAUGAGUGAAGAUAACACCGAGAUGAAGGGAGAUGCUGAGGUGGAUUUGAUGGAAGAGCUGCUGGACUCUGCAGAGAACUUUGAUGAUGAACUGAAUGAUGUUGCUGAUGACAAAGCCAAUAAACGUCGGAAAAAAACAGUUGAAACAACCAAAGAUGCUGCGGUAAAGGUGAAAAAAGAGGAGACCAAGGAAGCUGCAAUCAAAAGAGCCAAAUUAAAGGAGAAACAGGAAGCUAUUCGAAUUAAGCGAGAGAACAAGAAGAAGACCAAACCUGUCAAGAAAGAAAUUGAGGGUGAAGAAGGAGACAAAGUGAUUGAGGGUGAUGGAGACAUGGAGUUUGACACACGAAGUGAAGCUUCCUCUGACCAUAAGCUUUCCGAUGAUGAACCAUCUAUGAGUGAUGCCUCUAGGACAUCCUCUAUUUCAAGGGAAUCAUCAGUUGAGAAAGAUGACAUGGAGAAGGAGGAAAUUAGGAACCGAAAACGCAGUGCCUCCGAGACUUCUCUGAAGAGUGCUGAUGAUCCAAUGAAGACUUUGAAGGAACACCCAGUGAAGAAGAAGUAUGACUAUAUAACAAAAAUAAACUACAUGUUCCGAGAUGCAAGAUUCUUUCUGAUGAAAUCCAACAAUGCUGAUAACAUUUCUCUUUCAAAAACUAAGGGAGUGUGGUCCACUCCACCUCAGAAUGAAGCUAAAUUAAAUCAAGCUUUCCGUGAAGCCAGGAAUGUCAUCCUGAUAUUUUCCAUCAAAGAAAGUGGGCGAUUCUGUGGAUUUGCAAGACUAGCUGGAGAAUCUCGCAGGGACUUGCCACCCGUCACAUGGGUCUUGCCUCCAGGACUUUCUGCACGGGCUCUUGGUGGAAUAUUUGAGCUUGAUUGGGUAUCCAGGAGAGAUUUAUCCUUCACCAAGACACAGCACCUUUACAAUCCCUGGAAUGAAGGCAAACCAGUAAAGAUUGGCAGAGAUGGUCAGGAAAUAGAGCCCCGUGUAGCAGAGGAGCUGUGUCGGUUAUUUCCUAAAGAUGAAGGAAUAAAUCUCACGCCAGUUUUGCACAAAAGUAAACGUGCUUCAAGAGUGGCCCGUGCCAGAGGUCCACUUCGUCGGCCACUACAGUCACCCGGAGACCGCAGGGGCCGCCCUAGAGAACGUGGAAGCUUCAGAGGCCGUGGGGACGUUGGCUUCAGGUGCGUCACUUCCACCAGGGUUGAGUCUCGAAAAGGAGAGGCCUGCAUUUUGUCAAAACUGUCACUGAUACCUACACAUGUGGAACUUCAGCACAUUUUUCAACUAGAGCAGCAAACACCACUUCCCUUGACAACCUUAUUCCUUCAGUCUUAUCCUAUGCUUGCUUACCAACAAAUACUCACUUCAUUUACUAACACUAAUUCCUAUAUUUUGAAGCUCACUCCUGUACACAUCAAUUUCCUAAUACAAAACACAACACAGAAACUGCUUGCAAACCCUGGUUGAGGAUGUUUUGCUGAAGUACACAGUGACAAAUGUCUUACUUGUGUAACAGUGGCAGUAAGCAAAUCAGGACCUUCUCUGGCUCCAACAGUGCAGUUAUGAGGACUCACUAUCUGUUCCGUGGUGGUGGUGGUGCCGCAACCACUACUGCUGGUAUGAGGGUAAUAGUGUGAGACAGUGGUCCAGCCCCACUCACUCACACCGUGUCUUGUUACCGCUCUGUCUCUCAUCCCGGUGCUGAGGACUUCUAUCCUCUCACAGGACUCUGUCCCUUUUCUCUCUCACACAACCUGGCUAGUGAGUGACACACCCAGCACACAAACAUACCAGUGCAGUGCGUAUCUCAUCAGUUCUUGCAUAACACCAGUCAUGAAGAACUUGGUUACUUGGUUCUAAAGAGCAGACAUAGACUAGGAAUUCUUUUGAUAAUUAGAACUUAAAAAGGUAGACAAAGCUGGUAAAUAUUUACACCCUGUGGACUUACCUAUCAGUAUAUAUUGAGGGACUCCUACCAGUAGUUGUAUAUGGACUUUGUGUGAAGUAGUGAGUGGUUGGCUCAAGUCCACGUACCAGCAGUAGGUGACACUCACUAGCAGGUUGACACAGAGCCAGGCCCAAGCAUAUGGACUCGGCUUAGCUGUAAGGUAAUGGUCAUAAACUUUUUGGUAAGGUAGUAUCUUGCAUGGACUCGAUCAAGCAUUCAGGACUAAGUGUGCCAUAAAGUUUACCACAAAGAUUUUAGGCGGCUAAAGCCCAGUACUGAUUUGUUGAGAUGAAAGAGAAUCAUUGCCUGGCUAAUGAAAUAGUGAAGGGGAUGAUUAGUGAGUGAGAAGUGAAUAGUGAAAGUGAUAAGUGAUCAAAGUGAAAUAAGUGAAAUAUCGGUGCAUUAUAUUACGUUGCGUUCAAGACGGCAAGACGGCAAAUCCCUGCCAUCCAUUCUUAUCCUCUCCUACCAUCUUCACAACACACCAUCUUCAAGUGAUAAACAUGGCAGGUGUCUUGGAAGAUUUCUUAUUGGUCAUGGUGAAACUAUGGUGAUGAUGUUAACAUGAACAUGGUCACAGCAUGAGUGUGGAUGAGGGAGAGGGAUGGCUGGGCAGCAGUGGGAAAUGUACACAUUUAGUCAUCAAAAACAUGGUAUGAGUAAAUUGACAACAUGAGCAGGCAGAGGAAGAAAUACAGAUUGAUAUAGUGGGCAUUGUGUGUCAUGGUGAGCUAUGCUGCAUGUGAUAUUUGCAUUGGUGGCAACCUGUGCAAAAUAAAAAUCUUCAUACAUUUCUUUUUGGCACCAAUCUGCAAAUAAUUAAGUUUGUGAGUGUUGAACCCACAAAUGUUGAGGGUAAGUUAUAUAUGUAAAAGAUUAACUACCAAAAUCUCUUUCCCUUAUUAGUAAGUACCUAAUUCAUAGUAUGGCUGUCAUAAACCAGGUGUGGUAAAAUUUCAAUACUUACAUAAUUAAAUAAUCUGUUACUUCAUGUGUUGCUAUUCUGAUGUGAAACAAGUCACUUCAAUUCAUUUUUUUUUUUCUCAUGUACAGUCACACCUUGUGAUUUGAACAUCCUUCAAUUUGAACAGGGUUGGUGAACAAAUUUUGUUCUCCAGUUUGAAUGCUGUCCUCCAAUUUGAACACAAAUACCAAUUCAAACAAUGCCUCUUGGCCAGUCUUCUUGUAUUCCUCCAUCCCUCCCCAUAUCCUUCAUCCCUCUAUCUGUCCCACCCACCCUCCUCCCUCUGCUCAUAUAUCUCUCUCUCUCUCUCUCUCUCUCUCUCUCUCUCUCUCUCUCUCUCUCUCUCUCUCUCUCUCUCUCUCUCUCUCUCUCUCUCUCUCUCUCUCUCUCUCUCUCUCUCUCUCUCUCUCUCUCUCUCUCUCUCUCUCUCUCUCUCUCUCUCUCUCUCUCUCUGUAAUUUACUCUCAUUCUCUGUAUGUCCCUACCUCCCAUUGUUCCUUUCCUAUCCCUUCCACUUUCAUUUGGUCUGAAACCUCCCUCCAUGCCACAUUCCCUCCCCCAUAUCUGUCAGAGAUAAGAGAGAAGGGAGUGAUACCUCACUCUCCCCCCCCUCCCCUAGUUCAUUCUAUGCCAUUUUCACUUCUUACUUUUCUCACUCUUAUCUUUUCUCACUCUUUCUCACUUGUGUAAUUCCAUUUCCAUUCUGUUUUGCAAUUCUCAAGAUUGUUCUUACUUUUAGAGAGAGAGAGAGAGAGAGAGAGAGAGAGAGAGAGAGAGAGAGAGAGAGAGAGAGAGUGGAUUUUAGUGUGAAAUUAAAAUUGUGUUCACUACAAGGACUGUUUUCAAGACUGAAGAUGGCAGGAACUUCUGAUGACUCAUUUUGAGGUUGAUGUUUAUAUACAAUGGUAUUUUGUGUAAAAUUUUAAAGUCAUUGUUUUGUAUCUGACAUAUAGGACAACUCAUUUUUUUGUGUCUUUUUUAGGAUGAUUUAAGUGGUGUCUUAUACUCCAAAAUAUAUGAUACUUCAUUUUUUCUUUUACUGUAUUUUUUUUCUAUAAUUUAGGUUAAUUUCAUUCAGUUCUAUGCCUAGGACACAACAUAAACCCAUAAAAGAAUAGGGGAAUUUUGGGAUCUAAAACUGAUUUUUUUUUUUUACACUAAUUUGAAUGGGAUAAAUUGCUUCCUAAUUCAAACAUUUCCAAUUUGAACAGCCCAAGAGAACCAAUUAAGUUUGAAUCACAAGGUACCACUGUAUUACAAGAGGAAACAAUACAGAGCAGAAGCCUUGUGUUGACCCAGUGUGUUGCUAGUCAAACAGGCACCAGUACUGUAGAUUUAAUUGGCUUUGUUUUGCCUGCAGUAACCAGAGCUGUUGGGGCACCAUGCAUACUCUCAUUGCUGUAGUAGCAUAUUCACUGUAAUUAUAUUAUGAAAGGCUACAUUGAAAUUUUCAGUUGACUGUAGUUCAUGAUGCUGUAUUAUCAGUAUUUGCACUACUGACUAUAAUAUAGUGCAUAUGUAGUGUAAAAGUUAAGCUUUGCAUUUCUUUUCAUUAUGCUUGGUGCUUUUUUUUAAUCUUAAAUCCUUUGAUCUGUUGGCAAUCGAAUAACAAAAUCUGACAAUUAGAUUAGAUUUUUUCAUAGAUCAGAGUACUUAAGAUUAAAGAAAAUAUGCUAAACUUUCUUCUUUCUUUCUUUUUAGAAAAGUGGGGAUAGAAGGAUAUAGUGAGAAAUAUUGAAUUAUAGUAAUAGUUAACAGUGUGUGGGCAGUCCACGUUGCUAUUGUUGAUUGUGUAGGUAAAAAUUUGUUCUUUCCUUGCUCAUAGACACCUUGAUACAGCUAGGUUUGAGCUCCCAACCUAGAAGCCUGCAGCUGGAUGCAAGUGUAGGUGUAGUUAGUAACAUGUUUGUGUGGUGAUUAGCUAGGAUGCUAAACUUAGUGAAAGUGAAUGCACUGUGUUACUAGACUAUUGAUGGUGACUCUAUAGGUAUACACAUAUGAUAGCUAAUGUAAACAAAAAAAAAAAAAAAAAAAAAAAACUGACACUUUUAUAGGAUAUAUAUAUAUACAUAUAUAUCAUGCUAAAUAGGGAUAAUAGGCCAUUAACGUUAAUGGCUUGCCCUUUAACGUUAUUGGGCAAGAGAAUUUUGGAAAGUAAGGUUAAUGAUCAGGUUAGGUUAAUGUUACUGAGCAAGCUAUUAACAUAAAUGGCCUAUUAUCCCUGUUGAGCACAUCAUUAUCAAUAUCUUGCUGUUUUCUUACAUUAUUAAUUUGACAAUAAUUUGUAUAUAAAUUAUGUCCAAUGAUACAUAUAGUAGUAAUGCAUACUGUAUGUUCCAUUGGUAAUAAGCAUUUUAAAUACAAAGUCCCUCUAGUCUAUAUGGUCUUGAUCAUGGGACACUUAGUUAACAAACUUUCAGCACAAACUGGUCACUUUCCAUAUGAUGCUAUUAUUACAGUAUGGUAUUUGUAUGUAUUAAUAUAUAGUGUACACAUUGCAGUAAUAAUGUCAGUCAAGCUCAAAUUACAGUCUAGUGUACAAACACUUCCUCAGGACCUCAGUUAUGCACAUAUGUAAUAACUUUUGGUUAAUUUUUGUGGUAAUGAAAAAGGUGUCUUCAGUAUCUGCAUAUAGAAAAGUGAGCUGAAUUCAUAGGAGGUGGUGAUGAGAAACUGGUAAAUAUUUUUGAAACCAGGAAGAUAUGUAAAGAGAACAUAGAUCAAAUGAAAAGUAAAAUUAUUAAAAAUUAUCAGGCUCUGAUAAAGAUCAGUCAGUGUUAAAAGAAUGCAAGGAGAUUAUGGGUGAACUGUUAGUAAAUGUUUUUGGAAAUAAGCAGAUUUGGGAGAGGAAAAUGAAAUAUUAAGAGUAGACACUGCCAAAAUUUGGCUAAUAUCUACUACUCAAGCCAGUUUCCAAAAUCCACCCCAAAAAUAGUUGAGCAUGUCACUCAGUUUCUUUGAUAGUCUUGUAGCAGUACAUGAUUGGUUUUUCCCUCCAAAUAUAUUAAUUUACAUUUUCAAUUUUGAUGUCACCCACCUUGCAGAAUCCUUCAUUUUCUAUUCAUUAUUCAUAUGUGUUUAAUUUUAAUUUUUUUUAUUAUAGUCAUACUUAUCAAUUCUCUCUGUGACAACCACACACAGCACAUCUCACUGUAAUGUUAGUGUUGUUAUAUGGCAGUUAAAUUCCUUUAUUCCAGAGAAUGUAUCUCUUUUCAUAAUUAGGCAUAUACUAUAUUAAUUGAUAUUAUAGAUAAGUCAUUAUCAUUAUGAUAAUUGAUAAGUGAAGCAAGGUAAAUGCAAUGGUACUUCCAGAGUUAAACAUCUGGCAACAGUUAUAAACAAAGCUAACUAACCCUGGAAUAAGGCAUAAUAUUUAUUAAUUUUAAUAUUUCUAUUGAAAAAUUGAAAAAAACAGAAAAGAUAUUCCUAAAUAUAUUUAAAAAAACGCAUAUGCUAUAUGAGGAAAAUAUCUUGAGAGGCUUGUUCAUACAUGUGAUGACAUGAUGACAUGAAUAUGAGUGCUAAACACCAGAAUAUAAUUGUUAUAAUUUACAUUAUAACAUUUUUGUUACAGUCAACUGCAUAUUUUACCAUAAAUUUUAUCCUGAUAUUUGUCAUUGGUUGCAAUAUAAUGUCUUUGCAUAUUACAGUAUAAAUUCUUUCUUCCAUUCAUAUCAGUUGUGACAUUUGCAAUGGUCUGGAAAAACUGCCAGAUUCACCACCCAACUUAAUUUUACUUAAAAAACUCUGUAUGCUGGUAAAAAAAAUCUUUAUAUCAUUUGUGUGUUAUCAAACCAACUAAGAGAAUAUUAGGAACAUUUUUAGUAACCAUCUUUAACUAGAGAGCAAGAAAUGUGGCAGAACAUGCUAAAUACUACACACAUUAUCUCAAGUUUGGGAUGUAUCAUCACCUUGGGAUGAAUGCCAUUUUUUUUUUUUUCAAUUAAGUUUAUUUUAUCAAUUCAAGUUAUACAGUUAACAUUAAACAUUAAGUCCUGAAUCUUAGCAGGACACUGGCAAAGAUUGUCUGUUGACAUUAUCUUUCCCAACAUCUUCUCUGGAUUGCCACUUGUCUGUUGACAUUAUCUUUCCCAACAUCUUCUCUGGAUUGCCACUUGUCUGUUUACAUCAUGUCUCCUACUUUCCUCUUCGGAAAUACAGCUCAUCCUUCCCUUGAUACUUUAUAUUUCUUUCGUGAUAGACCAUGUAUAGACCGAGGUUUUACAACAGCACUGCAAACUCGUAUCUUCUUCCUUAGGCUUUUUGGUGUGUUGGAGAAGUCAUUGUUUCUGAUGUUGGCCAAUCCUUAACUGUCACAAUAUUCCCACAGCACAGAUAAUAUUUGCUCAAUUCUUUUUGGGAUUUGGCUGAUAAAAUAUUAAUCCCUGUAGAAACCAGUGAAAAAUGUUUCUAGCAAAAUAGGUAGCAGGAGAUUAGAAAUAAAUGUGAAAACACCAAGAGUCUAGUUGUAUUUAGUUUGUAAUAACUGUUCUAUAGAGUGUGCAUCACCAGAUCUUAUGGAUACUGUUAACCUAAUACACUUAGGAUUAAUGUUUUGUAGCAUAUACACCAAAAUGUAUCACCAGAGGUGAUUUCAGAAUGUGCAUCUGUAGAGAACUCUGUGAGCAUAUACCGAGUUCUAUAUUAAAGCAGCUGGCAACCUCUGGCAGCUCAGACAAUUGUGAAUGCCCCAAUUCAUAUGAAUAAAUUUAUUUAAAUUCAAUUCCAAUUCAUUUUGAUGUUUGAUUUUUUUUUUCUGUCUUGUUUGAUUUCAGUUCAUGCCUUUUGAACUUCAAUUCCAAUUUAAAUUCCAAUUUGAUUAAUAAUGAACAAUAACUCGAUGUAAGGGUUAUAGUUAACUAAUAUCUCUGUCAGAGGAAACAAUGUAUUGAAACCAGAAAUAAAACAAACCAUGCACUAGGAUUCAUCCUUUGGAUUGUUAAAAAUUGAAUAGCUAUAGUUUUUUUUUUUUUUUUUUUUUGAGGGGUUCUGGUUCUGGUAAAAAAAAAAAAAAAAAAAGGCCAACUGAGAUGCCAGUCCCAAAAGAGAACAGCCAAAUGGAUUAUCCAAACUUGAAUGAUGUGUCUUAAAACCUCCCAUUUGAAAGAAUUUAAAUCAUGGGAAGGGGAAAAUACAGAAGCGGACAGGGAGUGUCAGAGACUACUCAGAAUGCCUAGCUUCAAGGAAGCUGUUUUAGAUAGAAACUUCACUUCAGUUCAGAUUAUUAGGAAAGGACAGACUGAGGAUGUUCAUUUUAGAGAGGGGGAUAAUUGAGUGUUAUUGAAGAAGAGGGGAUAGCUACAUGGAUGGUUGUGUUGAGUUGACAGAUGGAGGAAUUUGGUUUAUGAGGCAUUGAAAGAUACUAAGUUUGCUCUGCCUCAGUCAGAAAUUUUAGAAACAUUAGAAGUCAAGCAUUCUAUGACUUCCCUGCAUGAGUUAUUUAAUUACUGAAUGUUUGGGUGUGUGCUAAAAGGCAUGAUAAGAUUCAGAGUGGUAUUGACAAUGGAAGAGUGAAUAGUUUGACUUAGAAUUGAUGAACUCUAUCAGUUCUAUCUAUUGACUCUAUCAAAUGCUUCUGAUAUGUUUAAAGCAACAAAAAAAGUUUCACCAAAAUCCCUAAAAGAGGUUGACCAUUAAGGAAAGCCAGAAGAUCACCAGUAGAGUGGUCAUGAUGGAACCCAUACUAGCAGUCAGAUAUAAAGUUGUGAAGUGACUGAUGUGUAAGAAUCAUUGUGUUGAGGAUAGAUUGAAAACUUUAUAAAGGCAGGAAAUUAGAGCAAUAGGAGGGUACUUUGAAGAGUUAGAGCAGUCACCCUUUUUAGAAACAGGCUGAAUGUAAGCAAACAAACUUCCAGCAGGAAGGAAAAGUAGAUGUUGAUAGAGCUGGAAGAGUUAAAUCAAUCAAGGUGCAAGCACGGAGGCACUGGUUUCGAGAACAAUAGGGGGAAUCCCAUCAGGUAUGUAAGGCUUUCAAGGAUUAAGGCUAAUGAGGGCAUAAGAAAUAUCUUUAAUAAGAGGCAUGAAAUAGUCAGAGGAUAAAGGAGAGGGAGGAACAAGCCUUGAAUCAUUCAAAAUGGAGUUUUUAGUGAGGUUUGAGCAAAAACUUCAUUUUUUCAGAGAGAUGACAUGGCAAUGGUGUUAUGAAGUUGAAAUAGAGGAGAAAAAGGUGAAGAAAAAAGUUGUUGGAGAUUUUUUUUUUAGAUAUCCGUAAGAAUAUUUAUAACAAUGAUCAACUCCAGAUUAUUGACCUGGAUCUAAAUGUUAGUGUAGUCAGUAGGGUGCUUUGAUAUAAAAUUAAACACAUUUAUGGACAGAGGUAACAGAUGAAUAUAGAUUUGUAUGUUUAAUUCAAGGAUUGUCAUGUAUAGGCCUAAUAUAGUCACUGCAGGCUGAACAUAUCUAGAAGCAACGUUGCAUGCCUCUACCCCCUUUUAAUGGGGCAUCUGAUUAGUGCACUUAUAAUGUUUAUAAUGUUCAUACUAUUUCCUAAAAUUUUAAUGCUUAGGAUAUUUUAUCACUUUAUCAGUUAAUUUAACUAAUUUUCAGAAAUAUCAGUUAGAAAACAGUAAUAAUAUCAAAGUAUUAAUCCUCCAAAAAAAUAAGGGAAACAAACAUGUCAGUGAUAGUGUAAGUCAUGGCAAAAAUUUAUUUUGAACAAAGCAUACUAUAUUUAUUUCAUAUAGAAUGUCAAACAAAAAUAAAAUAAAUCUCAAUUAAAUGGUUCACAUAUUCUGUUUUACUGUUGGUAAUAACUAACUUGCAUUUUCAAUGCGCUUUUCACUUAUUACACAGUAAGCAAAAGAAAUUAGAUAAAUGAACUCUUUAUUACUCAUGUUAAGUUGAAUAACAUGGAUCAGCACAGAGUUACAGCCAUCCUUCCCCAUUCAUGUACUAGUGACUGUUAAUGUUAUCCACCCAUCAUCUUACUAUCACCUGCUAUGCUAAGAGUUGCUGCAAACAGCCAAGUUGGUUAUCACAGUGGGCAAAUUUUUCUGUGGAUCUCUGGAUUUUAAUGUACAUGGACCUACUACUGUGGUAUUCCAAUUAUAUGAGGUGUAAUCAAAAAGUAUCCAACCUUGAAUUUGUUAGCACAAAGUAAUAAUGCAUGAGUAUUAGGGUAUUAGGUGGCCGCAUCCUUACUGAGCAUGAACAAAAAUGUUCGUGUCUGUAGAUGGCAUUAGUUGCCUGCAGUGAUGCACUGAGUACAGACAUGAAGAGCAUGCUGUGUGAUUUUUCUUUUUAAGUCAAAAAUACUGUAUUAAAUUGUGCCAAAAACUUGGUGAUACACAAGCCCAGACUGUUGAGAAGAUUCAGAAGGCCUUUGGAGAUGAUGCUAUGGGGAAAACACAAAUAAAGGAGUGGUACAACCGGUUCAAAGAUGGUUGCAUCUCAGUGGACAGUGGGCCACGUUGUGGCAGACCAUCGACUAGCAGAAAUGACGAGAUGAUUGCAAAGGCUUAAAGAAAAGUCUAUGAAGACCAUCAUGUGGCUAUUGAGGAGACUGUUGCUGAAGUUGGAAUCAGCCAUGGGUCAGUUCAGCAAAUUAUAGCAGAAGAUUUGUUCAUGAGGAGCAUGUCGGCCAAAUUUGUACCAAAGUUGCUGUCUGACCAGCAGAAAGGAAAUCUCCCAGGACAUGCUGGAGUGUGCUAGCCAAGAUCAAAACUUUAUGAACACUAUCAUCACUGGCAGGGAGACAUGGAUGUACAGCUAUGACCCUGAAAAAAAUUGCAAUCAUCCCAAUGGAAGCAUCUAUCCUUGCCAAGACCAAAGAAAGCAAGACAGGUGUGCAGCAGUGUUAAACUGAUGAUGACCAGUUUUUUUUUUUGACUACGGAAGUAUUGUGCAUCAUGAAUAUGUACCACAAGAUCAGACAAUUAACAAAAAAUACUACCUGAGGGAUCUUCGCUGCCUUCAUGAAGCUGUAUGGCAAAAACGACACGACCUGUGGGUAGCAAGGAACUGGCAACUCCACCAUGACAACACACCCACUCAUUCCGCCCACAUUGUCCAAGUCAAGCAUAACACACCACUUGUUUGUCAGGCUUCCUACCACCCCAUAGACUUGGCUCUGUGUGACUUUUGGGUAUUUCCAAAGCUCGGAAAUACAUUCAAAGGGAGAAGAUUUCAGUAAACAGAGGACAUUAAGCAAAAUUUGAUGGCACAUCUCUACAGCAUCCAAAAAAAAUAAUUUCCAGAAAUGUUUCCAGCAGUGGCAGGAAUGCCGGCAGAAGUGUGUAGACUCCAAAAAUGAAUUAAAUACUUUGAAGGAGACUAAAUAAAAAUUGAGUUUUUUUAAUAUUACUUGUUCUUUGGCCAAAGAUUGGAUACUUUCUGACUACACUUCGUACUUGCCCCAUCCUCUCUUGUAUCAUAAUCUCAUCUGAUAUAUUUCCACAAAAACAAACAUGGCUAACAUAUCUCACUACAUCCCAAUUUUCUCCCAGAGUGCAGUUGCUUUUGGCUUAAUUAAUGACAUAAUUUACUGAAGCAUUGGAAAAGAAAA